rnacentral:lncRNA from 1 species
UUUUUUUUUAGAUGGAGCCUGGCUCUGUCACCCAGGCUGGAGUGCGGUGGUGUAAUCUCAGCUCACUGCAACCUCCACCUCUCGGGUUCAAGCAAUUCUCCCGCCUCAGCCUCCCGAGUAGCUGGGAUUACAGGGGCCCGCCAUCGUGCCCAGCUAAUAUUUGUAAUUUUGUAGAGAUGGGGUUUCACCGUGUUGGCCAGGCUGGUUUUGAACUCCUGAUCUCAGUUGUACAAUUUUGCAAUAAUCUUCCAUGGAGUUCAUGACCAGAGGAUGACUAGACCUUGAGAAGUAUUUGAAGAAGGGGUCAAGGUGGGAGCCAAGGCAACCAUCUGAAACAGCUGGCCUGCCUGGGCAUGUCUGAGCCAGAUGUCUACUUCUGGUCCAGAGUUAGAAUUAUGUAUAAAAUCAGGUACUGGGAACAAUUUAUCUAUGUUAAAAAGAUGUGUGUGUGUGAAUGGAUGCUGGAGUGUAAUGGCGUGACCUCGGCUCACUGCAACCUCUGCCUCACGAGUUCAAGUGAUUCUCCUGCCUCAGUCUCCCGAGUAGCUGGGAUUACAGGCAUGCGCCACCACACCCAGCUAAUUUUGUAGUUUUAGUAGAGAUGGGGUUUCUCCAUGUUGGUCAGGCUGGUCUCGAACUCCCGGCUCCAGGUGAUCCAUCUGCCUUGGUCUCCCAAAAUGCUGGGAUUGCAGGCAUGAGCCACAGCGCCUGGCCUACUCAUACGUCUAUAUUUGUUGCAGAAAAUGAUAAAGCGUUCAAUAAAAUAAUUCUAUGCAGUAGAAUAAAUUUUUUGUGGAAGUGAAAUAGAACUAUGCGUUCAAAGAAAAAAAAGAACAGUCAAAGAUUUCCAGAUGCUACGAAUGAACAUGUUCAUGAAUAAUUCUAUAUGGAUGAUGGCAGGGAUCAAAUUGCCAUUAUAUUUUCAAUUUCAUCGAAUAUGUUGUUAAAAUUGAUAGAUUUUAUUUCAAAAUAUUUCUGUUUAUAAUGUACCAAAGAUUAUACACCAUUUACAACUAUUACAAUGAAAACAUUUAAAUGUCAACCUAAAACAUUUACAAGUGAGUUCCUAGUUUUUGAAAAUUAUAUAAAAGGCAAUUGAAAAAAGAAAAAAACACUGUCUUGGAACACAUAUAUCCCUGUAACCAUCCACCUAGAAUUUG